CUUCCUGCUUUCAUUUUGAUCUUGGGUUUUUUUUCAGGUUUUAAAAUGCCUGAGCCAGCGAAGUCCGCUCCCGCUCCGAAGAAGGGCUCCAAGAAGGCGGUCACCAAAGCCCAGAAAAAGGACGGUAAGAAGCGAAAGCGCAGCCGCAAGGAGAGCUAUUCGGUGUACGUGUACAAGGUGCUGAAGCAGGUCCACCCGGACACCGGCAUCUCGUCCAAAGCCAUGGGCAUCAUGAACUCGUUUGUCAACGACAUUUUCGAGCGCAUCGCCGGCGAGGCCUCGCGGCUGGCGCAUUACAACAAGCGCUCGACCAUCACGUCCCGGGAGAUCCAGACGGCCGUGCGCUUAUUGCUUCCAGGGGAGCUGGCCAAGCACGCCGUGUCUGAGGGCACCAAGGCUGUCACCAAGUAUACCAGCUCCAAAUAAACUUGCCAAAUGACUAAAUGUUAUAAAGAAGAGACUAAAAGCCAUUAUGCCUUUAUAAGAGUCUUGACUGAAGUGGGAGGACCAAAUGGACUUCAGAAAUCUAUUUUCCCACCUCCAUUUACUGCUGGACACUGUUGCAUCUCACAAAUAAGUCAGUAAAAAGGACUGGUCCUAGAAGAGGAUAAAAUAUUUUUAACAGUCAUGGAAGGAUCAAUAAGAACUUGGCUAACACAUUUAUUUUAAGUAUAAAAAAAUGUUCAUUGUAGAAAUUUGUAAAA